rnacentral:ncRNA from 1 species
CAGAGUAGAUUUGCGCGCGUUAAGUGUCUUUUGAACGGGGAGUUGUCAAAAGAACGAAAAGUUUUCUUGCGGUGUGCAAAUCGCAUCCCGCUG